AUGUUUCACUGGCAGGGCACUAUCAUGGGACCCUCGGACAACCCAUUUACCGGUGGUCUAGUGAACAUCCAUUUCCCACCGGAUUAUGCCUUGAAGCCCCUGAAGGUCUCUUUCCGCACCAAGGUGUUCCACCCAAACAUCAACAACAACAGCAACAUUUGCCUUGACAUUCUCAAGGAACAGUGGAUCCGGCUUUGA
rnacentral:rRNA from 1 species